rnacentral:lncRNA from 1 species
GUAAGUUUUACAAGUGGGGAGAGUUCUCAUUCAUUUUUGGUCACAGAGCUGCGAGAACGUGUUCAAGAGCUACAGUCAGCCGUAUCCUCUACCAUGUAGAAUGUCCGAGAGAAUGAAAAAGACAAAAGCUGAAGGGAAGAAGAGGAAGAGAACCAUAUCAGCAGACAGAGGUGGAAAAAAGAAGCCACGGAAAGAGGUUGGUGGUGGGAUGCUCAUGUGUGCUGUCAGGCUCUUGACGCUGCAAGGACCAGCGCCUCACUCAGGUCGCCUUCGGGAAAAGUGCAAGGACACAUGUGGGUUGCUGUGAAGAGCCAAUAAGACAAUGCCCGUGAAACUCUUAGCCUACCUCCCGGCACAGAUAAGUGCUCUUUGAAUGCUAGUUGCCAUGGCUGUGUCAUCAUCAUCAUCAUCAUUGUUUUCAUUAUGAUACUUUCAAGGUGGAGCCUGACUCCCCUGCCCUUGAGUGUGGGCUGAACGGAGUGGCUCCCUUCUAAUGAGAGAAUUCGGCGGAAGUGAUGGUUUGUGACUUCCAAGACCAGGUCAUAAAAGACAUUGCACUUCCUCCUUGUCCUCCCUGGUGAACUGUGGAUUGCUCGCUCUGGGGGAAGCUGGCUGCUAUGUCAUAAGAUCACUCAAACAGCCCUAUGGAGAGGACCUCAUGGCAAGGAACUGUGGAGUCCUGCCAUCCAUCAACAAAGCACUGGGGCCCUCCGGCAAGUAACCACUGAGUGAGCCAAAUCGGGAGUGAAUCUUCCGGCCCCAGUCAAUCCUCAAAAUGAUUACAGCCCCAGUUGACAUCUUGACGCCUCCUCACGAGAAACCCUGAGCCGGAGCCAUCCUCCUAAACUGCUUCCACAUUCCUGACCCUCAGAAACUG